rnacentral:rRNA from 1 species
AACGAACGCUGGCGGCAUGCCUAACACAUGCAAGUCGAACGAGACCUUCGGGUCUAGUGGCGCACGGGUGCGUAACGCGUGGGAACCUGCCUUUAGGUUCGGAAUAACUCAGAGAAAUUUGAGCUAAUACCGGAUAAUGUCUUCGGACCAAAGAUUUAUCGCCUUUAGAUGGGCCCGCGUAAGAUUAGCUAGUUGGUGGGUAAAGGCCUACCAAGGCGACGAUCUUUAGCUGGUCUGAGAGGAUGAUCAGCCACACUGGGACUGAGACACGGCCCAGACUCCUACGGGAGGCAGCAGUGGGGAAUAUUGGACAAUGGGCGAAAGCCUGAUCCAGCAAUGCCGCGUGAGUGAUGAAGGCCUUAGGGUUGUAAAGCUCUUUUACCCGUAGAUGAUAAUGACAGUAUCGGGAGAAUAAGCUCCGGCGUAACUCCGUGCCAGC